rnacentral:rRNA from 1 species
CCUACGGGAGGCAGCAGUGGGGAAUUUUGGACAAUGGACGCAAGUCUGAUCCAGCCAUGCCGCGUGUGGGAAGAAGGCCUUCGGGUUGUAAACCACUUUUGUCAGGGAAGAAACGGCUCGGGUUAAUACCUUGGGCUAAUGACGGUACCUGAAGAAUAAGCACCGGCUAACUACGUGCCAGCAGCCGCGGUAAUACGUAGGGUGCAAGCGUUAAUCGGAAUUACUGGGCGUAAAGCGUGCGCAGGCGGUUAUGCAAGACAGAUGUGAAAUCCCCGGGCUCAACCUGGGAACUGCAUUUGUGACUGCAUGGCUAGAGUACGGUAGAGGGGGAUGGAAUUCCGCGUGUAGCAGUGAAAUGCGUAGAUAUGCGGAGGAACACCGAUGGCGAAGGCAAUCCCCUGGACCUGUACUGACGCUCAUGCACGAAAGCGUGGGGAGCAAACAGGAUUAGAUACCCUGGUAGUCCACGCCCUAAACGAUGUCAACUGGUUGUAGGGUAGGUUUCUUCUCUAGUACGUAGACUACGCGNGAGUAGACGCCGUGGAGGACGGCGCGUAGUAGUUAAGUUAAAGUAAGUUAGAGGNGNGAGAGNGCGAGACGACGACGAGGAGAGG